AGACAGUCAGAAUGUAAAUGAUCAUUCUGUAACUCUAGUGUAUAUUAGUUUGUCUGUUGUAAAUCCUGCCCACUUGUUUGCAUUGUGACACAUGCUUCAGUGCUCUGAGAGUGUUUAUAGUGCUGUGAGUUUAACACUUCAUGACUGAGAGCAGAACAGAACACAAUCUUCAUCAUCACACAAGACAAAAGAACAACAAUGAACACAAUCGCCUUCUUCAUCUGGACUCUCACACUGUUUGCUCAAGAGUGUAGAGGACAGUACACUGUAACUCAGAGUCCAGCAAUACUAGCAGCUCAACCAGGACAAGAAGUCAGAAUAAACUGUAAAAUAAGCAGUGCAGUAUGUGGUAGUAGUUACCUACACUGGUACUUACAGAAACCUGGAGAAGCUCCUAAACUCCUCAUAUAUUAUGCUACAAGCCGUAAUACUGGAACUCCAUCUAGAUUCAGUGGCAGUGGAUCUGGCAGUGAUUUCACUCUGACCAUCAGUGGAGUCCAGACUGAAGAUACAGGAGAUUAUUACUGUCAGAGUUUACACUGUCCUGGUAGUAGUCGGGUGUUCACACAGUGAUAAAGAGUGGUACAAAAACCUCGGUCAGUCAGACGUCACAGUGAUGCACUGAUACAGCUGAGAGAUACUGCAGCUGCUGAUGGAGGAUCACAAACAAUGGUGUGUUCAAACUUUCAGAAACUUCAUUUAUUUAUUAUGAUGUACUAAGUAAACAUGUGAAAUUUAAUCUUAUAUCCCUUGCUUGCUUCCCCAGGUGAAAAAAAGUACACUUUCAUAAUGUACUUUUUAGCUCUAU